AUGAAAGAAAGAAAUAAACUCUAAGAAGUAUAUUUGGCCCUCAAACCAGUAAAACAGCAGGAAACCACUUGGCUCUACAGAAGCUGCUCCCAGCUAGACCAGUCUCCAGGCUAGACCCGAACCAGCCUAGCCAGGCUUGUUCUAGGCCUGGGCUACGUCCCCCUAUCCUGCCCGGGCCACGUAUCCACAAGACACACACCGACUCCCAGAGAGCCUGCAGGAGCUAUGGUCGGCCCAUUACAGGGAACAGCUGAAUUCACCCUCAGACGCUACAACUGCAGUCUCUCUGGCACCAAACUGUUGCCAACCUGCCUACCUUUUGCUUUGAGGUGCCAUCAAUUCCAGUAACGGGACACCAGGCAAGCCAUGUCGCCUGCCCACGUCUGAGCCAGAUCGUCUGAGAACUCCAAAGAAAGCUGGGGGCGCAGGCCACGUGGGCUGCUGGACUGUGCAGAGCUUCAAGGAGGUUGAGAGGCGAGGAGGUCCCUUGGCUACUGCUUUCAUCCCGCGCAAUGCAUAAAUUUGCUAUCGGGAACCUGUGCUUACCAGAGAC